GUGUGUAAGAAGGACUUCUCUUACACACACACCACUUGCAUGGCUUUAUUCACAUCAACCUAUUUCCACUUGCAUGGCUUUAUGACUUAGUUGAAAAUUUCCAAAUUUUUUGUGGACUUAUCUCCACUCCUUUUUCCUCCCUAAAACCGGCCACCCUAUUAAAAUAGGGUAUUUUUGGGGCUUUUAUGCAAUUACAUAAAGUUUUGAUACUUUUGUGUAUUUGUGUUUGACCCGAAAGUUUACGUUUUGACGUUAAGGCCCUAAAAACGCUAAAGUACAAAUUGUUUUGCUCUCUUUAAUGAAGUUUUGAAUUUAUUGGAAUUUUUUGGGUUCUAGUUGUAAUUACAUGAAGUAGUGGGACUUUUGUGUUUUUACAAAGUGACCCCAAAAGUUUGUGUUUUGCAAUAUAGCCCAAAAGUUAUGGUAAUUGCAUUUUGGCCCAAAUUAGGUUGAGAACAAAAUGGUUUUGUCUCUUUAAAUGAGAAUUGGAUUUUCAUUUCAUUUAGCUCCAUUUAAAUCAAUUCUAUGGAUAUAAAAACCAAAUGAAAAAUGUUGCAUUCAUAUUUAAUUAGUUAAAGUGUUAAUUAAUUAAAGGGUGAUUAUGAACCUAAGCCUACGAUAAUUGAGCUAUGUGAAAGGCCGUUUUUCAAAUUUGUUUGAACCAUGGGAAUGUGUAGAUUAGAUUUUGGUUGUAAUUUUGAUUUGAUCAAAUGUUGUAAAAGAGCUUAAGCUCUUCUUUACUUUAAAGUAAUUUGAAUUGUUCAAAUGUUGUAAUGAGCAUAAGCUCACCUUUACUUUGAAGUACUUCUUUCUUGCUUUAUUUGAUAUGCAUGAAAAUGAAGUAGUUGGGUCCAAUGCCCCUAAGACAACACGCCUUAAUGUGAUUAAACGCGUUAACUAAAAUCAAUCACCAUCCCUAGACCGAGAUUCAACACUAGGCUCGUGUUGAAUCUAAACAAAGGUUCAUAGUCAUCCUAAGGCCCUAAGGCAACUAUAUAGUCCAUCAAAUGAAUGCAAAGUUUAUGUUAGUAGUAGUAUCAUAUACUCUUGCUUUAAAAACCGUUUUAUAAGCAUAGUGGAGUAUUAUAUACAACUAAAUUCAAUCAAAUGGACCAAUAGUUGUAAUAGGACCAAAAUUGUUUUAAUAAGAUUAAAAUGAAAGUUUAUAUGUGAUGAGACCUAAAAACCCUCAACCAAACCAUUAUUAAGUUGAUAAGCGUGAGAGUGCUUUGAACACUCUUUCGUGGCCUUCCACUGUGGUAGGCUUCAAUCGUUUAUGACUCAUACACAGUAUUCGUCCAGUUCUGCGGUUGCAAAGUAUGUGCUUUACAUUCAGGAGAAGCCUAUAUGCCAAUAUGAUGAAGUAAAGGUAGGCAACGAGUAUGGUCAAUAUGAUUUUCUUCUGAGGCCAUUCUUGAACCCCUACUUUAACUAGCAUGGUGGGAAUGACUUAACUAAGUGCAAUAUGCCAAUAUGAUAUUCUUCUGAGGCAUCAUUCUCUAGAGGCCAAACUAGAUGGGUACUUGCAAGAGAUGCAAAUGAGUAAGUGUACUCUCUCAUUAUUAUUAACGCUAGCCAAUAUGAUUUUCUUCUGAGGUGGGCUUGGUAAUGGUGAGUCCCCCAUACCCUACUAAGAGUUUCAUCCAAAACUCUCGAAUUCCAAUGAGGGAUAUGGAAUUUGCCAAAAAU
rnacentral:lncRNA from 1 species